rnacentral:rRNA from 1 species
AUGACAAGUGACAAGGGAAGGACUUCAAAGAAGGCCGCUGAGGGUUCACCCUCUGCUUUGGCUGUGCCUGAUGGAAGAGCCAGCAGUGGACCUCAGAAGGGGCAGUUGUCCAAUGGGAGGACAACGGGUCCAGCAAGGCGCUCGACCAAGGGAAAUUGGACCCUCGAAGAGGACGAUAUACUUCGGAAGGCUGUUGAAAUCCACAAUGGGAAAAAUUGGAAAAAGAUAGCUGAGUGUUUUCCUGAUAGGACCGACGUUCAAUGCUUGCAUAGGUGGCAGAAGGUUUUGAAUCCUGAGCUAGUCAAAGGGCCAUGGUCUAAAGAAGAAGAUGACAUCAUUAUUCAGAUGGUAAAGAAAUAUGGACCCACGAAAUGGUCAACCAUCGCCCAAGCUUUGUCAGGACGCAUUGGGAAGCAAUGUCGCGAAAGGUGGCACAAUCACCUUAAUCCUGGUAUAAACAAAGAUGCAUGGACGCAAGAAGAGGAGAUAAGGCUCAUUCAGGCUCAUCACAUAUACGGAAACAAAUGGGCUGAACUGUCAAAAUUUCUACCAGGAAGGACGGACAAUGCAAUAAAAAAUCAUUGGCACAGCUCAGUUAAGAAGAAAUAUGAAUCGUAUAGAGCAGAAGGAUUACUGGCUCAGUUCCAGGGCCUACCAGCUGCUCUAUAUCCUACAGGGAGUCUAAAUGUUGAUUCAUCAUCUGCAAUGAUGCAGCAAAAUAGUGAUGGCAGUGGUUUGAAUGUUAAUCAGGAGGUACAAGAUUCCUCGGAGUUUAGCCAAUCAGCAUUGGCUAAUAUUUCUUCUUCUCAAGUGGAGCAAGUUGAUGAGCCUGUGGGCUGUCAUGGGCAAAUACAUUCCAGUGAUGGAGCGCAUGACUCUUACUCUUCAUGUCAGGAAGCAUGCGAUACUAAAGCCAACGAUGCUGCCUCUACUUCACCAGAGACUCGUCACCAGUUGUCAAUCUCUGAAAAUGAUCCAGAUAUGCACUGGCAGCAAGACCUUUCUGUAGCCGACUUCGAUCUUCAGUCAGAACUGUGGCAGGAUAUUUCUUAUCAGAGUCUUACUGCACCAGACUCCAUCAGUGCUGAUUCUUUCUUCAGCCCAAAUUACCAGCACAGUGCAUGCUCAUCUGAAGUUGCGAACAAUUUUGAAGAACCACUUUAUCCAUUGCAUACAUACUCAUCAAGCAGGACAGGCACUGUGCAUCAUCAAAGUUCUGCAACAUCAGUACCUCCAUCCUUUAUUUGUUCAGGCCGUGCUAGCCAGAUUGUUUCCAGUGAACUGCCUAUAGUACCAGAAUCCAAAGAGCAACAGAUGACAAGUGUUGAAGAGUCACUGCCUAUAGUGCCAGAAUCCAAAGAGCAACAGCUGACAAGUGUUGAAGAGUCACAACCUUUGGAAUCUACAACCAUGGGAAGAGAAGCGUCACCAAACCAUGGUAAAUCCGUGGUAGGACAAAAGCAGCAUUCAGAAUCUUUAUGCUAUGAACCUCCUUGCUUUCCAAGCCUUGAAGUUCCAUUUGUCAGCUGCGAGCUCAUAAGCUCGAGUGACCUGCCAGAAUAUAGUCCUCUUGGCAUUCGACAGUUCAUGAGGCCAUCCAUGAGCUUCUCCACUCCACUAAGAUUAUGGAGCUCCCCUACACGCGAUAGGAGUCCUGAUGAUGUGCUGAAAAGUGCUGCCAAAAGUUCUGUAUGCACACCGUCGAUAAUGAAGAAGCGGCAGAGAGAGCCCCCAUCUCCUAUUCCAGAUGUAAGACUUGCAAAGAAAAUGGGUACUGAAAAGGAUUGUGGUAGCUCAGCCAUGCCAUCCACAAGAACUGAGAGAUCUUGCAGAGAUGCCACUCGAGAUGAUUCGCUUGAUUUGAUUCCUGAAAAUUCGAAAGAUAUCAUUUAUCAGGGUAAAACUGAAGAUAAUGCAAACAUAAAUACUUUGGAGAAACGAGAGAGAUGUUCCACUACCGAGAGGGAUACCGCUUACAAUCUAGUAUCCGCAGGGAUUCUUACUGAUAGGAAUGGUCCAAAUCCAGAACGUCGGAAGCUAAAUACCCCUACAAAAUCUUUUUCUAAAGACAUAAUAUCUUCUCGAUCAAAACCAACAGAACUUCUCGUUGAAAAAUCUUCAGUGUAUAUCAAUGCUGAUUAUGAGUAUGUAAACAUACUAGCUGAUACCCCAGGAAUCAAAAGAGGGUUAGAAUCUCCUUCUGCAUGGAAAUCUCCUUUGUUCACAAACUUCCAGGAUGGAUUCUUCAUGAGCCCAACAGGCACAACUUUUGAUGCUCUAGGAUUGGUGAAGCAAAUAAAUGAGCAGAACGCUCCAGCUCUGGAGGAAGCGCAUGAACUCCUGGAAAGUGGGAGCCUAUGUAACAAGGAAAGCUCUGAUAAGGAAAACAUAAAACAUAUUGUUAUCAAGAAGGAACAUGCUACAACCAAUCAGAUAUCCAAUGUCAUGUCGGAAGCAAGGAUUCUUGAUUUCAACGAGUGCACCACACCUGUGAAGAAGAAAGAAGACAACAGAUGCAGCACUUUAGGAAGAUCUCCAACUUCCUCUUAUGUCUUGAAGAAUGUGCGGUAG